UUUAUCCUACGGGGCGCAGCAGUGAGGAAUAUUGGUCAAUGGGCUUACGCCUGAACCAGCCAAGUAGCGUGCAGGAUGACGGCCCUCCGGGUUGUAAACUGCUUUUAGUUGGGAAUAAAAGGGGGCUCGUGAGCCCCGUAUUGUAUGUACCAUCAGAAAAAGGACCGGCUAAUUCCGUGCCAGCAGCCGCGGUAAUACGGAAGGUCCGGGCGUUAUCCGGAUUUAUUGGGUUUAAAGGGAGCGUAGGCCGGCUUUUAAGUCAGCUGUGAAAGUCCGCGGCUCAACCGUGGAAUUGCAGUUGAAAC
rnacentral:rRNA from 1 species